CAUCAUCAAUAUUGAAACAGAGUCAUCAGUAUUUAUUCUAUUUCUAAUUAUAGACCUAUUAUAUAACUUUGAUAGAUGAUAGUUGAAUUUAACUCAAACCCCUCAUCCCGUAUGAACUAUUUCCUUUAUGUUAUUAUAUAAAAUACAAAUAAAAAUUUAAUUUUUUAUUCUUUCUUUAUUUGUGUGAUGCAACAUGUGAUGAUCAAAUUUCGA
rnacentral:lncRNA from 1 species